rnacentral:rRNA from 1 species
UACAGAGGUGGCAAGCGUUGUUCGGAAUUACUGGGCGUAAAGGGCGCGUAGGCGGCCCGUCAAGUCCCGUGUGAAAGCCCCCGGCUCAACCGGGGAACUGCACGGGAAACUAGCAGGCUUGAGUUCGGGAGAGGGAAGCGGAAUUUCGGGUGUAGCGGUGAAAUGCGCAGAUAUCCGAAGGAACACCGGUGGCGAAGGCGGCUUCCUGGACCGACACUGACGUUCAGGCACGAAAGCGUGGGGAGCAAACAGG